GCUAACUAGCCAGGUAGGAAUGGAUGGUGCUCACAAAUGCAACCAAGCCAGCUGGUUGUCUGUGAGGUUAGGAGGUCGUGAAAGAGUUCUAAGAACACCAAGUAAUGAGGAUUCGACUGGGCAGCUAUUUGCUCGGUGCGUGGCCAUGCAGGAAUUCAACAGACGUCCAUCUCCUUUCUUUUUAUUGGUGUCAUACUGAUCCUUAAGACCAGAAGCCAGUAGAAGAAACACUGUAUGUAGUACAGAGACUCUAACACAGAAGUGGUAGGGCUAUGGUCUAAAAUCCGUCUCCAACUUCCGAGAACCCUAUUCCAGGCAAGAAGCAACAGACUGAUGAAAAUAAACGUCUAGAAGAGGAAUUAUCAUCUUACCUGAAACAGCAUAAGACACGGAGCCAAGAACUCAGGUUCAUCCUCACUCUGUCGGUGCAGUCCGGUAACCCCAGCACUCAUGAGGUGGAGGUCUGAGCAUCAGGAGUUCGAGGCCAGCGUGGGAUCCCUCCAAAACCAAACAACAACAAAAUGAAUAAAUCUAAUUCUGCAUAAGCCAUACUAA